CCUCAUCCUGAAAAUAUGUGAACUGGAUAGGCCUGAAGAAGUAUGCACUUAUUGUGCAAAGAGAAAGCACGGUUGAAAUGGUUCUCAUUUAUCUGAGAAAUGCAUUUUGGAAUUGUCAGGGUGCAGCUUUUAGGUGGAAGCAGAACAGACUAGUUCCUAGAAAUGAGAUCUGAAAACAAAAGCAACAAAUGUGACAUCCCUGCAGCAUUCUGCUCCAGGCACAGUGUCAGGUGGGGAGUUUGGCUGGGGUGGUACUCAGUGAACUGUAACACAGGUCUCCUAAGGUGAGCUUAGAGAGGAUGGAAACCUCCCACAGAGGAGAAGGGCAAAAGCUUUCUUGAUCUUGACUUUCAGUAUGAAUACAGACCAUGGAAGCAAGGCCUCAUGAUCCUUCUGACUUUUUGGGAUUUUGCCCCAAAUCCCAUACAUCUCUAACUUAUAGUAUGUUUAUCUCUGUAAAUAGUAAUUGCUAUUUCUCAGAAAGCAAUUAGAACCAUUAGAGCUGAAAAUGACAAA
rnacentral:ncRNA from 1 species